CAUAGCCCGAGCCUCCCCGACGAGCACUGCUCCCUGCUCCACGGUGCCCAGUCCCAUCGACCACCCAAGGGCUGAGGAGUGCAGGGGCACGGCGCAGGACUGGCAGGCAGCUCCACCUGCAGCCCCGGUGCAGGAUCCACUGGGUGAAGCCAGCUGGGCUCCUGAGUCUGGUGGGGACUUGGAGAACCCUUGUGUCUAGCUAAGGGAUUGUGAAUGCACCAAUCGGCACUCUGUAUCUAGCUCAAGGUUUGUAAAUGCACCAAUCAGCACUCUGUGUCUAGCUCAAGGUUUGCAAAUACACCAAUCGACACUCUGUAUCUAGCUAAUCUAGUGGGGACGUGGAGAACUUUUGUGUCUAGCUCAGGGAUUGUAAACGCACCAAUCAGCACCCUGUCAAAACAGACCAAUCAGCUCUCUAUAAAACAGACCAAUCGGCUCUCUGUAAAAUGGACCAAUCAGCAGGGUGUGGGUGGGCCCAGAUAAGAGAAUAAAAGCAGGCUGCCCGAGCCAGCAGUGGCAACCCGCUCAGGUCCCCUUCCACACUGUGGAAGCUUUGUUCUUUUGCUCUUUGCAAUAAAUCUUGCUACUGCUCACUCUUUGGGUCCACGCCGCCUUUAUGAGCUGUAACACUCACCACGAAGGUCUGCAGCUUCACUGCUGAAGCCAGCAAGACCACGAACCCACCAGAAGGAAGAAACUCCGAACACAUCUGAACGUCAGAAGGAACAACUCGGGAGGAACGAACAAUUCCAGACGCAACGCCUUAAGAGCUGUAACACUCACCGCGAGGGUCCGCAGCUUCAUUCUUGAAGUCAGUGGGACCAAGAACCCACCAAUUCCGGACACAGAACUAAAGAAGGGGGACUGGUCAAUAUCAAAGACUAGGCACUUGUCUGCAAAGAAAAGACAGUUGUGAGUAGCCUGUACAGCAAGUCCUGAAAUUUCAUAGAAAUCUCUGGAGGAAUUCCUUGGAAGACAUAAAGCCAAGUGAGUGUAGGGCAUGAGUUCCUGGCUGCCCCAUAAGGAAGGAAACUGCCAGAAGCCCUUUAGAAUGAAGAAAAGUGAGAAGAUUCUUGGAAAGUGGACUGAGCUUUUAACUCUGCAAGGGACCCUCAGCCCUCUUGGCAUACUGAAGUGAACACUCUGCAGCUAAGCACCACUGAAUCCAGCAGGACUUGAGACUUCAUCAUCUGCCAAAAAUGAGCUUUCCUAACAACAUGGGACCUAUUUGUCUAAAAAUAAACUGUCCUAGCCACAAGAGAUGAGACAAAACCCAAGACCACAGACUCAUUUUCUUCUAAAAUGCUCUGUCUGAAAGAUUUUAAGAAGAAAACGGGAGAGAAAUAUAAAAAGAAAAUAAAAACUUGGGACCCCAAUUCACUAUGCCAAAAGGGAAAAAAUUAAGCUGAAAGCUGAGUAAUGCAAGAAGCUGCCUUUCUUUUUGUUCCUAAGCAAAUAGCUACAGAUAAAAGGUUUAGUAUCUCCACAGGUAGCUACUCUAGGUUCACUUUAUCUUAUGUAAAGUGCUGAUUUGCAGAGCAUGAGAUGAAUACAUAGUUGACCCUUCCCCUAACCGCUCCUUUUCUCUUGCAAUAUGUGGAUUCAGUAAUGUGACCAUACCCUACCUCUUUCCCCUCCAGCCUGCUUUUCCCCAUUAAAUAUUGAAGCCCUCAAAAUAAUACUUGGAGAAAGGCAUAGACAUAUCACCCAGGUGGGUCCUUAACCUUUGCAAAAUAAACUUCUAAAUUGAUUGAGACCUGUCUCAGAUACUUUUUGGUUUACAAUAUAAUAUGAAAAGUAUUCUUUAAUCUGCAUGCAUGGAAAACUAUUCAUACUGGAAAAUAAAAUGUUACCUAACAUAUUUUAAUUAAAAAAAAAUUGCAACCACCUCAAAAUUGAAGAAGUAAAAACUCACAAACAAC
rnacentral:lncRNA from 10 species